rnacentral:rRNA from 1 species
GACGAACCGUGCGAACGUUGUUCGGAAUCACUGGGCUUAAAGGGCGCGUAGGCGGGCACUAAAGUCAGGGGUGAAAUCCCCCAGCUUAACUGGGAACUGCCUUUGAUACUGAGUGCCUCGAGUAAGGUAGGGCAUGCGGAACUGAUGGUGGAGCGGUGAAAUGCGUUGAUAUCGGAAGGAACGCCGGCGGCGAAAGCGGCUUGCUGGACCCCAUCUGACGCUGAGGCGCGAAAGCCAGGGAGCCGAACGGG